rnacentral:rRNA from 1 species
CUAGGGCGGCAGCAGUGGGGAAUAUUGGACAAUGGGCGAAAGCCUGAUCCAGCCAUGCCGCGUGUGUGAAGAAGGCCUUCGGGUUGUAAAGCACUUUCAGUGGGGAAGAAAGCCUUGGGGCUAAUACCCUCGAGGAAGGACAUCACCCACAGAAGAAGCACCGGCUAACUCCGUGCCAGCAGCCGCGGUAAUACGGAGGGUGCGAGCGUUAAUCGGAAUUACUGGGCGUAAAGCGCGCGUAGGCGGUCUGAUAAGCCGGUUGUGAAAGCCCCGGGCUCAACCUGGGAACGGCAUCCGGAACUGUCAGGCUAGAGUGCAGGAGAGGAAGGUAGAAUUCCCGGUGUAGCGGUGAAAUGCGUAGAGAUCGGGAGGAAUACCAGUGGAGAAGGCGGCCUUCUGGACUGACACUGACGCUGAGGUGCGAAAGCGUGGGUAGCAAACAGGAUUAGAUACCCGAGUAGUC